GUCGGCGAUGCGGCAGGUGAAGCCGUAGCCGCUGGAGACGGCCAGCAGCACCCGCUGUUCGGCGUUGCCGCAAACC
rnacentral:tRNA from 1 species